ACCCUCCAAAAAUAGGCGUA
rnacentral:snRNA from 1 species